rnacentral:rRNA from 1 species
AGAACGAACGCUGGCGGCAGGCCUAACACAUGCAAGUCGAACGCCCCGCAAGGGGAGUGGCAGACGGGUGAGUAACGCGUGGGAACCUUCCCUAUGGUUCGGAAUAGCUCAGGGAAACCUGGGGUAAUACCGGAUAAGCCCUUCGGGGGAAAGAUUUAUCGCCAUUGGAUGGGCCCGCGUAGGAUUAGCUAGUUGGUGAGGUAACGGCUCACCAAGGCGACGAUCCUUAGCUGGUCUGAGAGGAUGAUCAGCCACACUGGGACUGAGACACGGCCCAGACUCCUACGGGAGGCAGCAGUGGGAAUAUUGGACAAUGGGCGAAAGCCUGAUCCAGCCAUGCGCGUGAGUGACGAAGGCCUUAGGGUUGUAAAGCUCUUUUGGCGGGAAGAUAAUGACGGUACCGCAGAAUAAGCUCCGGCUAACUCGUGCCAGCAGCCGC